rnacentral:rRNA from 1 species
GACGAACGCUGGCGGCGUGCUUAACACAUGCAAGUCGAACGGAAAGGCCCUGCUUUUGUGGGGUGCUCGAGUGGCGAAAGGGUGAGUAACACGUGAGUAACCUGCCCUUGACUUUGGGAUAACUUCAGGAAACUGGGGCUAAUACCGGAUAGGAGCUCCUGCUGCAUGGGGGGGGAUGGAAAGUUUCGGCGGUUGGGGCUGGACUCGCGGCUUAUCAGCUUGUUGGUGGGGUAGUGGCUUACCAAGGCCUUGACGGGUAGCCGGCCGGAGAGGGUGACCGGCCACACUGGGACUGAGAUACGGCCCAGACUCCUACGGGAGGCAGCAGUGGGGAAUAUUGCACAAUGGGCGGAAGCCUGAUGCAGCAACGCCGCGUGCGGGAUGACGGCCUUCGGGUUGUAAACCGCUUUCGCCUGUGACGAAGCGUGAGUGACGGUAAUGGGUAAAGAAGCACCGGCUAACUACGUG